UACGUAGGGUGCGAGCGUUGUCCGGAAUUACUGGGCGUAAAGAGCUCGUAGGUGGUUUGUCGCGUUGUUCGUGAAAACCGGGGGCUUAACCCUCGGCGUGCGGGCGAUACGGGCAGACUUGAGUACUGCAGGGGAGACUGGAAUUCCUGGUGUAGCGGUGGAAUGCGCAGAUAUCAGGAGGAACACCAGUGGCGAAGGCGGAGACCUGGGCCGAUACUGACGCUGAGGUGCGAAAGCGUGGGGAGCAAACAGG
rnacentral:rRNA from 1 species